rnacentral:rRNA from 1 species
GGCUUGUUGAUAAUAAUUUCAGGUCUGACCUGCCCAAUGAGUUAAUUUGAAUGGCCGCGGUAUAUUGACCGUGCAAAGGUAGCAUAAUCAUUAGUUUUUUAAUUGAAAGCUUGAAUGAAGGGUUUGAUGAAAAAAUUUCUGUCUCUAGGAGAAUUUAUUAGAAUUUUAUUUUUAAGUGAAAAAGCUUAAUUGUGUAUAGAAGACGAGAAGACCCUAUAGAGUUUUAUAUUUCCGUUUAAAAAUAAAAUUUUUAGUUUGAUAAAAUUAAUUUUUAAUUUAAGUAUUUUAUUGGGGUGAUAAGAAAAUUUAUAAAACUUUUCUUGAUGAAUAAACAUUGAUUUAUGAUUUAAUGAUCCUAAUUUUUAGAUUAUAAGAUAAAAUUACCUUAGGGAUAACAGCGUAAUUUUUCUUAAAGUUCUUAUUGAAAGAAGGGAUUGCGACCUCGAUGUUGGAUUAAAAUAAAUUGUUGGUGCAGAAGCUAAUGUAUUAAGUCUGUUCGACUUUUAAAAUUUUACAUGAUCUGAGUUUAAACCGGUGUGAG